rnacentral:lncRNA from 1 species
ACCUGACCUCGGCCCCGGUGGAAGUUAUCGGGUGGCAGCAGAGUUGGAAUGGGAUAGGUAGUUCCCCGUUUCCAGGACCCCAGACGGCCUGCUGGGACAGUGUAUAUGAGUCCGGAAUGGGCUGGACCAGGGUCAGGCUAGCCCAGACUUCAGAGACAAUCAAGCUUUCGAUGAUCAUGUGAUGAGGUUUCCAGUCAGUUCCAGGUGAAGACACCACUGGCCAUCAAGAAGCUACCCUCUCCCCACCAGACAGAGCAGGAUGAGAGUUCUAUAAUCCUCAAUAGGUAGGGACGGUGCUCCAAGUCAGCAUGAAGCAGUUACAGAAGAAAGACCCUCAGUCCCCCUGCCUCCCAUAAAGAUUUAUGGGGAUCACAUCUCUCAGAGGGGAAAUGCACAGGAGAACUGGGCCUGGAGGCAGAGAACCUAACCCCACCUCUCCACACCCAAGUAGUAAAGGGAUCAGAGGCUACUUUCUUUGUAACUCUCCCCAUCUUUUCUGCAUUGCAGAUGAAAAAUGAAAGUACCUCUGAUUGGCCAAGUCUUCAUGUAUAACUUUGUAACUUUACUUCAGACUCUGAUUGGUCACCUUCCACAACCAUUCAGACUGGUUAUGGGCCAUUAUUUCAUUUACAUAGGGUGUAAAGCAAAUAACCAAUGGGAAACCUCUUGAGGGUAUUUAAACUCCAGAAAAUUCUGUAACCCCUGCUCUUGAGCCACUUGCUUCAGCCCACUCCCAUUCUGUGGAGUGUAGUUUCAUUUAAAUAAAUCUGUGCUUUUCUUUC